UACGGGGGGGGUUAGUGUUAUUCAUCAUUACUGGGUGUAAAGCGUGCGUAGAUCGUUUUGGAAAGUUUUAAAUUAAAAACAAUCUGAACAUAAUUCAGAAAUUAAUUAUCAUACUUCCAUUCUAGAGGUUGAAAGAAGGGAGCUAUACUUCUCAGAAAAAGGUGAAAUUUGUCCGAACUGGGGGGGAUAACCAGCUGGCGGAAAGCGGCUCUCUAAAACAAUACUGACAUUUAGGCACAAAAGCUUGGGGAUCAAACGGG
rnacentral:rRNA from 1 species